rnacentral:rRNA from 1 species
GACGAACGCUGGCGGCGUGCUUAACACAUGCAAGUCGAACGGUGAAGCUCCAGCUUGCUGGCGUGGAUAAGUGGCGAAAGGGUGAGUAACACGUGAGCAAACUGCCCCAGACACUGGAAUACAACCUGGAAACAGCGAUUAUUACAGGAUACGAAAAUGGUACGCAUGGGCAUGGUUUGGGAAGUUUGUCGGUUUGGGAUGGAAGCGCGGCCUAUCAGCUUGUUGGUGAGGUAAUGGGGCACCAAGGCGACGACGGGUAGCCGGACUGCGAAUGCGACCGGCCACACUGGGACUGGGGCACGGCCCAGACUGCUACGGUGGGCAUCGGUGGGAGUUAUUGCGCAAUGGGCGAAAUGCUGAAGCAACGACGCCGCGUGGGGGAUGACGGCCGUCGGGUUGUAAACCUCGUUCAGCAGGAAAGAAGCGAAAGUGACGGUACCUGCAGAAGAAGCACCGGCUAACUACGUG